rnacentral:rRNA from 1 species
CACGUAGGGGGCGAGCGUUGUCCGGAUUUAUUGGGCGUAAAGAGCUCGUAGGCGGCUCGGUAAGUCGGGUGUGAAACCUCCAGGCUCAACCUGGAGACGCCACCUGAUACUGCUGUGGCUAGAGUCCGGUAGGGGAGUGUGGAACUCCUGGUGUAGCGGUGAAAUGCGUAGAUAUCGUAAGGAAGACCAGUGGCGAAGGCGGGUCUCUGGACAGUUCCUGACGCUGAGGCACGAAGGCCAGGGGAGCAAACGGG